CCAUGUCCUGAAAUUUCCUUUUAGGUGAAGAUUUACUGUUUUCCUCCAGCAGAGAUUUUAGAAAUGAGGUAACGGUUGUUUCUAAGGUAUUCUCGGCUUUAUAAGCUCAUCUGUAUUCUCAAGCAAGGGGGAAAGGGCCUCACCCAAACUUCUGUCAGCGUUUGUUUCAGAGCAGAGUGCCCGUCAGCUCUACCUGCGUGUGACCUCAACUUCAGUACACGGUCGUGUCUCCAGAGGAGAGGACAAGUGGUCCCAUCCAGAGGAGAGGGUGUUACCUAGAACUCCUUCUUCCUGUAGAAGGCCACUGUUUUACAGUUCUCUGCAAGCAGGAGUGGUGUGACUCCAGGGACAUUAUUCUGUGUGGAAGGAGCAGUAUGUCCACAGGCUUAUGCCACUUUUGUUAAAAGCCUUCAGAUCCAAGAAUCAGGCAACUGCAAUUACUAUCUUCAUUUAAUGAAGAACAGGCUUGGAUUGGAGGGGUUGCCCAGCCUCACAUUAUCUGAUCAAGAUGACUGACAACCUGAGGUAAUUUCUAAUUCAUUGCAGUCCACUGGGUCCCAGAAUGAUAGCCCUGACUCUUGACUUUCCAUACAUAUAUUGUGGAUAUUAACCCUGUGUCUGACAGUGAUGCAAUUGUUUUUCUCAGUCUUUGGAGUUGGUAUAUAUGCUAAAGUAUUUCUAUGAAGAGAAACUUCACCUUACCUACAAUACCGUUUAGUACAGUUCAUAGAGGAAAGCCAUGCUGUGUGGCUUGUGGGAUCUUAGUUCACUGACCAGGGAUUGAACCCGUGCCCCCUGCAGUGGAAGCGUGGAGUCCUAACCACUGGACCGCCAGGGAAGUCUCAUGUAUUUUUCUUACUGAAUUAUAGUUCUUUAUAUAUCCUGGAAUUAGCCUUUUGUUGAUUAAAUACAUUGUAAAUAUCUUCUAGUCAGUCACUUCGAUUUUAUUUGUUUAUGAUAUAAUUUUUUGCCAUAUAGAAGUUAAACAUUUUACAUAUGUAUUCUUUCACGAUGUGUUUUUGUGAAAUUUUUUUAGGGUUUUGCCAUAUAGAAGUUAAACAUUUUACAUAUAUAUAUAUAUAUAUAUAUAUUCUUUCAUGACGUGUAUUGUGUUAUAGGAUCCUCCCUAUAGGGUUUUAAAAUAAUGGCUAUUGCUGAUAUAUAGGAAAUUCUAUUGAUUUUUUUUUUUUUGUAUGUUGAUUGAUUGUGAAUUCAGCGAUCUUGGUGAGCUAUUUAUAUUGGCUUCACAUUUGAUUCUCAGAUUUUUUUCAGUCAGGAAGAACGUACAAUUUGCCAAUAAUGAUGAAUUGUAUUCCUGUAUUUCCAAUCUUUAUACCUCUUAUCUUUUUCUUAUCUUAUUGUAUUAACUGAUAUUCCUGGUAAAAUGUUGAAUACAAAAACAUCUUAAAAGCAGCCCAAACAUAGUAAAAAAAAAAUAAAAAACAAAACAAAACAUUUUUAAAGUGUUAAACAUUUUUUUACAAAGCAGCCCAGAUAUUAGUAGUGACACUGUUCUACCCGGAUGGCUGCCGCUUCACACAAGAGUUUACAAAUAACUGUCUACUGCAUUUUUCAUCAGUAAAAUCCCUGACCUUCCAGAUAGCUUUAGGGAAAUAUAUUUAAUUCACUUAUUAUUCAAAGAAUUUUUUUGUAUUAGAUUGAUGCAAGAAAUUGAAGAUUGCUAUACUGCUUUUGGUGUUUGAGCUAAAAGGCACAGGAAACCAAGAUAAACAGAAAACCUGUACCUGUACUUAAAUUUGUUACGUUUCCAGGAUCCCACCGAAAAUACACCAAACGGAAUUCCCUGGCGUGGCUGCGGUUAAGACUCAGCGCUUUCACUGCCAGGGCCUGGGUUCAACCCCUGGUCGGGGAACUAGGAUCCCACAAGCCGCGUGGCCCAAAAAAAAAAAAAGAAGAAAAAAAAAAAAAACCACCAAACAGUUGAGACAGUGCAAGGGCAAAGGUGAGCAUGACAAGGUCUGAUAAAUAAGGUAUUUCCCUGUACUGGGAAGGGCUUUAGCUUUCUAGAAGAAUGAGAGCAAGACGACGGAGCAGAGGGAAGACUGAGAACACCCCCAACACUCGUGGACGCAUCUGGACAAGAAGAGUUUCUCAUUUGUUCCAUGGAAUCAGUGCCAUUCUCAGCAAAGUCAUUACAAGUAGCUCAGGCCCCUGCUGGUACCUUACCUGUUCCAGGCUCCAGGGGGCUGGGCUUUCUGGACAGCAAGCCCCUCCCAUUGGCCAUGGGAGGCUCCUGCCUGAUGGAGGGCCUGGGCCGGUCACUCCCUUUCUUGAUGACCACGAGGACAUCUCUGUACAGCUGUGCCUGGUGCAGAACCCUCAGGACAUCCCCGUGGGCUAAGCCAGCCAAUGAGGCGCCGUUGACUGACAGAAGGAAAUCCCCUCGGCUCAUGGUCCCUUCCUGAGAAGCUGCCCCCUGAGAAAACACCCUGUGGAUCUGGGACAGGAGAGGACAAAAGCCAAGCUCAUUUAUGACCUCCAGUAAAAGCAAAAGGGCAAAUUUGUAGUAAAGGAACUAUCUAAUGGCAAGUUUUCUAAAUCAUACACACACUUGGUUUAUCAAAAACAUUCCGUGUGGCCUUCCCUGGUGGCGCAGUGGUUGAGAGUCCGCCUGCCGAUGGCAGGGGACGCGGGUUCGUGCCCCGCUCCGGGAAGAUCCCACAUGCCGCGGAGCGGCUGGGCCCGUGAGCCAUGGCCGCUGAGCCUGCGCGUCCGGAGCCUGUGCUCCGCGACGGGAGAGGCCACAGCAGUGAGAGGCCCGCGUACCGCAAAAAAAACAAAACAUUCCAUGUGAGGAAUGGGAUUAAAACUGUCAGUACCAGCACCUCAACACAUUUUUACUCUAUUCUUGCUAGCAUCUCAAAUGUGUCUGGCACUCCACGGGGCCGUAAGAGUAGAAAGAUGAACAGGACCUGGUUUCAUCCAAGGAAGGUGGCCUCCCUAGUGAUUUCAAAGGCCUUUGAUAUAAAAUUUUAAGUUUUUGAUCUUGAGAAAGAAGUGAUUUAUAAGCAAAUGCAAGUUUUGGUCCGUUAGUUCUAAUGUCCUUCCAAUGCUUAAACCAAUAAAAUGUUUAGGUGAAUAUGAGGACAUAGGCAACUGUGUUUAUAUGUAUCAUCAUCUUAAAGGUCACUCGCUAUGUGUUAAAAGUGCGUCUCUUAAUGCAAAUCAAAACUACAAUGAGGUAUCACCUCACACCAGUCAGAAUGGCCAUCAUCAAAAAAUCUACAAACAAUAAAUGCUGGAGAGGGUGUGGAGAAAAGGGAACCCUCUUGCACUGCUGGUGGGAAUGUAAAUUGAUACAGCCACUACGGAGAACAGUAUGGAGGUUCCUUAAAGAACUAAAAAUAGAAUUACCAAAAGACUGAGCAGUCCCACUACUGGGCAUGUACCCUGAGAAAACCAUAAUUCAAAAAGAGUCACGUACCACAAUGUUCAUUGCAGCUCUAUUUACAAUAGCCAGGACAUGGAAGCAACCUAAGUGUCCAUCAGCAGAUGAAUGGAUAAAGAAGAUGUGGCACAUAUAUACAAUGGAAUAUUACUCAGCCAUAAAAACAAACGAAAUUGAGUCAUUUGUAGUGAGGUGGAUGGACCUAGAGUGUGUCAUACAGAGUGAAUUAAGUCAGAAAGAGAAAAUCAAAUACCGUAUGCUAACACAUAUAUAUGGAAUCUAAAAAAAAAGGUCAUGAAGAACCUAGGGGCAGGACGGGAAUAAAGAUGUAGACCUACUAGAAGAUGGACUUGAGGACACGAGGAGGGGGAAGGGUAAGCUGGGAUGAAGUGAGAGAGUAGCACGGACAUAUAUACACUACUAAAUGUAAAAUAAAUAGCUAGUGGGAAGCAGCCGCAUAGCACAGGGACAUCAGCUCGGUGCUUUGUGACCACCUAA